rnacentral:rRNA from 1 species
GAUGAACGCUGGCGGUAUGCUUAACACAUGCAAGUCGAACGGACUCUUCGGAGUUAGUGGCGGACGGGUGAGUAACGCGUGAGAAUCUGGCUUUGGGUUCGGGACAACCACUGGAAACGGUGGCUAAUACCGGAUGUGCCGAGAGGUAAAAUAGAAAUUGCCUGAAGAUGAGCUCGCGUCUGAUUAGCUAGUUGGUGAGGUAAAGGCUCACCAAGGCAGCGAUCAGUAGCUGGUCUGAGAGGAUGACCAGCCACACUGGGACUGAGACACGGCCCAGACUCAUACGGGAGGCAGCAGUGGGGAAUUUUCCGCAAUGGGCGAAAGCCUGACGGAGCAAUACCGCGUGAGGGAAGAAGGCUCUUGGGUUGUAAAACUCUUUUCUUAGGGAAGAACAAAAUGACGGUACCUAAGGAAUCAGCAUCGGCUAACUCCGUG